CGACGCUACAAUUUUUGUUUCUGGAUCUCUGAACUGGGGAGUGAGUGCUGUGGAGUGAGGGGGAAAUAAGAUAAACAUGAGACCUGGCCCAGUAGACGCGUUUUCAGUUCUUGCUGACCUGCGGUCUCCGCUUGGAGCGCUGGGGGAGAGGGCGGAGUCCCCCGGCAGAGGUGAAGCGAGAGCUGCUUUCUGGCAGCGUUUCCAGCCUGGAAGGAGUUGUGCUCUGUAAUGCUUUUCUGAAUUGCAUUCGGCGAAAGGAGUAGGAAACUGCGUUUAUUCCUUCACCAGAUUUGAG
rnacentral:lncRNA from 1 species